AUGAGUCAUAAAACCAUUGAAGCCCCACCACCAUCAGUGUGUUGCCCUGAAACCAUUUGGGUUGUGCGACCCUGUGUCUGGGGCAUCGCGUUUUACAUCAGGAUCGAUCGCGAGGGGUCUUUCCAUACAUAUCCUCAUGUGGGUGGUCUGUUUCAGAACCUCCAGGAAACUCACAAUGCUAUUGAUCGUUAUCUUCAUGACCGCCAGCACCCAACAAUGUUUAAGCCUGGGCCUUCUCUUGUGGAGAUGGGUGUACAACGUUGUGUUUACUGGCCUGACGGCAGUAGGAAGGUGGCUUCUAAAUCUCAUCCAAUGGAUAUAAUCCGUAAUUGGACACACCAGUUGGCUCAAGCUCUGGAUUUUGCAUAUCAACUCAAAGAAGUCAUGCGCUGCCAAGCAAUUUGCGAGGGUGACGUCCUUAGUUUGUACUAUCACAUCAAUUUCACUGCAAUGGCACGAGGAGUUGACCAUGGCCCCAAGCUCUUUUUUGCUGAACUCACAUCUAUUAAGGGAGAGCAUGAACAGUUGGUGCCCAACUGUUUACUCAUGCUUCAACCUACUGACUAUGGUAAAUAA
rnacentral:rRNA from 1 species